rnacentral:rRNA from 1 species
GAUCCUGGCUCAGGAUGGACGCUAGCUACAGGCUUAACACAUGCAAGUCGAGGGGCAGCAUGGUCUUAGCUUGCUAAGGCUGAUGGCGACCGGCGCACGGGUGAGUAACACGUAUCCAACCUGCCGUCUGCUCUUGGCCAGCCUUCUGAAAGGAAGAUUAAUCCAGGAUGGCAUCAUGAGUUCACAUGUCCGCAUGAUUAAAGGGUAUUUUCCGGUAGACGA